UACGAAGGGGGCUAGCGUUGUUCGGAUUUCCUGGGCGUAAAGCGCACGUAGGCGGAUCUUUAAGUCAGAGGUGAAAUCCCAAGGCUCAACCUUGGAACUGCCUUUGAUACUGGGGAUCUUGAGUCCGGGAGAGGUGAGUGGAACUGCGAGUGUAGAGGUGAAAUUCGUAGAUAUUCGCAAGAACACCAGUGGCGAAGGCGGCUCACUGGCCCGGUACUGACGCUGAGGUGCGAAAGCGUGGGGAGCAAACAGG
rnacentral:rRNA from 1 species